UACGUAGGGCGCGAGCGUUGUCCGGAUUUAUUGGGCGUAAAGAGCUUGUAGGCGGUUUGUCGCGUCUGCUGUGAAAAUCCGGGGCUCAACCCCGGACUUGCAGUGGGUACGGGCAGACUAGAGUGUGGUAGGGGAGACUGGAAUUCCUGGUGUAGCGGUGAAAUGCGCAGAUAUCAGGAGGAACACCGAUGGCGAAGGCAGGUCUCUGGGCCACUACUGACGCUGAGAAGCGAAAGCGUGGGGAGCGAACAGG
rnacentral:rRNA from 1 species